AGAACGAACGCUGGCGGCAGGCCUAACACAUGCAAGUCGAACGCCGUAGCAAUACGGAGUGGCAGACGGGUGAGUAACGCGUGGGAACAUACCCCUCGGUUCGGAAUAACUCAGGGAAACUUGAGCUAAUACCGGAUACGUCCGAGGUUUUAAUCGACCUUGGAGAAAGAUUUAUCGCCGGAGGAUUGGCCCGCGUCUGAUUAGCUUGUUGGUGAGGUAAUGGCUCACCAAGGCGACGAUCAGUAGCUGGUCUGAGAGGAUGAUCAGCCACAUUGGGACUGAGACACGGCCCAAACUCCUACGGGAGGCAGCAGUGGGGAAUAUUGGACAAUGGGCGAAAGCCUGAUCCAGCCAUGCCGCGUGAGUGAUGAAGGCCUUAGGGUUGUAAAGCUCUUUACCCGGGAAGAUAAUGACGGUACCGGGAGAAUAAGCCCGGCUAACUUCGCGCCAGCAGCCGC
rnacentral:rRNA from 1 species